CAGCAUCGGGUCUUCAGAUCACGCACCUCUUUUGUCAAAUACGUUGUGAGACAUGGACAGCUUCCUUGCCAAGUAUCUUGCUAUGGGGCUUGCUAGUGCACUCGUUGCGCUGAUCAUUGCCCCU